GGCCCUACGAGCCAUGCAAACACGCAAGUCAUACAAGUCACACUAAAAAAAAUCUUAAUAGACCCAGUAUACCUAAACGGGCCUAAGGUGAGACUAAGUGGGCCUAAGGUGGUGCCUAAUGGGCCAAGUGCAUCUCAAAACUAUCCUAGAAAUGAAUGAAAAGCCUAAUUCUAAAUUAGGGCUGCCAAAGGUCACAAUAAGGGAUCAAAUAAUCCCUCAACCAAAGUCUCCGAGGUGACCUAGAAAAAGGUAAGUCGUACGAGUAGUAAUGGGCCACCAAGGAACUACCGUGGAGCACCGGAAGUGAAUUUAAAGACAUGUGCUAAAGGGACAAAAUUGAGG
rnacentral:lncRNA from 1 species